UGUGUUACAGCUUUUCUUGCUACGCAUUUCUGGCUUCCUUUUACCCUGUUAUAUUAUGGGCUGGGCUAUCAGUAUCAUGCAGCAGCACCGGAGACAAGCACAACAGGAUGCAGCAGAAUCUGCAACACAUUUCGCAUUUGUGCUGCACACUAAUCAAACGAGAGAUUUGCAGUUUGCAAUGGCAGCAUCACCCACUCCUUACCAGGAAACUGUAUGACAGUUUAUGAUGCUUGGUAGGGACUCGUGAAUUACUUUUCCAUGUAUUUUCCUUCAUCUUUUUCUUGUCCAUGUAUUAUAUUUUCUGUGAGCUAAUAUAAACAUAAGAAUAUAUGUUUUUAGCAUAAUUUAGUUAUAGAAUAUGGUUGACCUGCAAAAGUGUUCAGUAUGACA